rnacentral:pre_miRNA from 1 species
AAACAGCCCCCUAUGUUUUGAUUCUUUAACAGUUUUAGACCCCAAGGCAAAAAAAUAAAAAAAAUUAGACACGUGGCACCUCACUUAGGGUGCCAUGUCAGCGUUGAUCGAGUCAACAAUGGACUGGGGGUCCAAAACUGCCAAAGAAUCAAAACAUAGGGGGCUAUUU